rnacentral:rRNA from 1 species
UUGUUGGAGAGUUUGAUCCUGGCUCAGGAUGAACGCUGGCGGCGUGCUUAACACAUGCAAGUCGAACGGGAUCCAAGAGCGCUUGCGUUUUUGGUGAGAGUGGCGAACGGGUGAGUAACACGUGAGUAACCUGUCCUUUUCUUUGGGAUAAGCUUCCGAAAGGGUGUUUAAUACCUUAUGUUCUGUCUGCCUCGCAUGGGGUGGGUGGGAAAGAUUUUUUCGGUGAAGGGUGGGCUCGCGGUCUAUCAGCUUGUUGGUGGGGUGAUGGCUUACCAAGGCUUUGACGGGUAGCCGGCCUGAGAGGGUGGUCGGUCACAUUGGGACUGAGAUACGGCCCAGACUCCUGCGGGAGGCAGCAGUGGGGGAUAUUGCACAAUGGGCGAAAGCCUGAUGCAGCGACGCCGCGUGGGGGAUGAAGGCCUUCGGGUUGUAAACCUCUUUUGCUCUGAACAAGGCAUGCCAAUGGGUGUGUUGAGUGUAGGGGUUGAUUAGCGCCGGCUAACUACGUGCCAGCAGCCGCGGUAAUACGUAGGGCGCGAGCGUUGUCCGGAAUUAUUGGGCGUAAAGGGCUUGUAGGUGGCUGGUUGCGUCUGUCGUGAAAGCUCAUGGCUUAACUGUGGGUUUGCGGUGGGUACGGGCUGGCUUGAGUGCAGUAGGGGAGGCUGGAAUUCCUGGUGUAGCGGUGGAAUGCGCAGAUAUCAGGAGGAAUACCGGUGGCGAAGGCGGGUCUCUGGGCUGUUACUGACACUGAGGAGCGAAAGCAUGGGGAGCGAACAGGAUUAGAUACCCUGGUAGUCCAUGCUGUAAACGGUGGGAACUGGGUGUGGGGGGCUUUUUUGUCUUCUGCGUCGUAGCUAACGCGUUAAGUUCCCCGCCUGGGGAGUACGGUCGCAAGGCUAAAACUCAAAGGAAUUGACGGGGGCCCGCACAAGCGGCGGAGCAUGCGGAUUAAUUCGAUGCAACGCGAAGAACCUUACCAAGGCUUGAC